rfam:Ciona savignyi cont_5281, whole genome shotgun sequence.
GAAACGGCUCUUUUCAGAGCCACCUAUUUUUGUCUAAAAGGGAAUUU